rnacentral:rRNA from 1 species
UGCAGUCGAGCGGACAGAAGGGAGCUUGCUCCCUGAUGUUAGCGGCGGACGGGUGAGUAACACGUGGGUAACCUGCCUGUAAGACUGGGAUAACUCCGGGAAACCGGAGCUAAUACCGGAUAGUUCCUUGAACCGCAUGGUUCAAGGAUGAAAGACGGUUUCGGCUGUCACUUACAGAUGGACCCGCGGCGCAUUAGCUAGUUGGUGGGGUAAUGGCUCACCAAGGCGACGAUGCGUAGCCGACCUGAGAGGGUGAUCGGCCACACUGGGACUGAGACACGGCCCAGACUCCUACGGGAGGCAGCAGUAGGGAAUCUUCCGCAAUGGACGAAAGUCUGACGGAGCAACGCCGCGUGAGUGAUGAAGGUUUUCGGAUCGUAAAGCUCUGUUGUUAGGGAAGAACAAGUGCGAGAGUAACUGCUCGCACCUUGACGGUACCUAACCAGAAAGCCACGGCUAACUACGUGCCAGCAGCCGCGGUAAUACAUAGGUGGCAAGCGUUGUCCGGAAUUAUUGGGCGUAAAGGGCUCGCACGCGGUUUCUUAAGUCUGAUGUG